rnacentral:rRNA from 1 species
GACGAACGCUGGCGGCGUGCUUAACACAUGCAAGUCGAACGGUGAAGCGCUUGCCUUUUUGGUGGGUGUGGAUGAGUGGCGAACGGGUGAGUAACACGUGAGUAACCUGCCCUCUUCUUCUGGAUAACCUCAUGAAAGUGGGGCUAAUACGGGGUAUUCCGGGUCUGUCGCAUGGCGGGUUUGGGAAAGAUUGCGCCUUUGGGUGUUUUCGGUGGGGGAUGGGCUCGCGGCCUAUCAGCUUGUUGGGGGGGUGAUGGCCUACCAAGGCGGUGACGGGUAGCAGGCAUGGGAGGGUGGACGGCCACACUGGGACGGCGACACGGCCCAGACUCCGGCGGGAGGCAGCAGUGGGGAAUAUUGCACAGUGGGCGGAAGCCUGAUGCAGCGACGCCGCGUGGGGGAUGGAGGCCUGCGGGUUGUGAACCUCUUUCGCCAGUGAAGCAGGCCUGCCUCGUUUGUGGGUGGGUUGACGGUAGCUGGAUAAGAAGCGCCGGCUAACUACGUG